UUUUGAAUAGCUCAAUUGGUGGAGCAAUCGAUUUCGACUCGAUUUGUCAUAGGUUCGACUCCUAUUUCAAAAA
rnacentral:tRNA from 1 species